ensembl:lncRNA
GGCUGUUUUAUUAUAAAGUGGGAGGUGUCUUCCUCUUGGGACGGUGCUUUCCUCUUGGGAUGUUAUUUCCUUCUUGGGAUGGUGUUUUCCUCUUGGGGCGGUGCUUUGGGGCGGUGCUUUUCUCACUUGCGCCUUGACUCCGGACAGCGGACCCCUCGUCCUGUUUCCACAGAGAAAGUUUCGUAGAUAAAGUUGAAUAAAAGGCUUCAGGGUGAAGUUGUACCUGAGCUUCGUGGACCUCGUGGUUUUGUUCUGCGCUGUGGACGCGGACAUGCGCAUUUGAACUGAUGAAGAUUUCAUUUCACUUGUGACAGAUUCAAACUCCAGACGACGUUUGUCCUUGAGGGGGCGCUGUAAACAACACACAUGUCUGCAUCCCUGAGCAAACCCAGUCCAGAUGAGACCAGCAAAAGGAGAUGGAGCAGAGACUUUCCUCCUGUUUCUGCACUGAAACAGUCCAAUGAUUAUGAACUUUAUCUGUCAAUCAUUGAUUUCCUAAGACUCUAUGAAGAUAAAAAAGACCUGUGUCGUUUUAUCAAGGAGCUACAGGAAAUACAGCAACAAAGAGAAAAACUUGAGAAGAAGAAAAGAACAGGGGUGAAUGUGUCAACAACUACU